rnacentral:rRNA from 1 species
UACAGAGGGUGCGAGCGUUGUCCGGAAUUACUGGGCGUAAAGGGCGCGUAGGCGGCUUGGUAAGUCGGGGGUGAAAGUCAGCGGCUCAACCGCUGGACUGCCUUCGAGACUGCCUGGCUUGAGCAUGGUAGAGGCUGGCGGAAUUCCCGGUGUAGCGGUGGAAUGCGUAGAGAUCGGGAAGAACAUCGGUGGCGAAGGCGACAUCCUGGACCGGUAUUGACGCUGAGGCGCGAAAGCCAGGGGAGCAAACGGG